GGCAAUCCGGCAGGGUUCCCUUCCGCAGGGUGGAAGCUUUGUUUUUUCGCUCUUUGGGUCCACACGGCCUUUAUGAGCUGUAACACUUACCGCAAAGGUCUGCGGCUUCACUCCUGAAGCCAGUGAGACCACGAGCCCACCGGGAGGCAGGAACAACUCCAGACGCGCUGCCUUAAGACCUGUAACACUCACGGUGAGGGUCUGCAGCAUCACUCCUGAGCCAGCGAGACCACGAACCCACCAGAAGGAAGAAACUCCGAACACAUCCAAACAUCAGAAGGAACAAACUCCAGACGUGCCACCUUAAGAGCUGUAACACUCACCGUGAGGGUCCGCGGCUUCAUUCUUGAAGUCAGUGAGACCAAGAACCCAUCAAUUCCGGACACACUAGGAAGAAGGUAAAAUGUUCUCUGACCUUCAUGCACCCUCUGGGAUAUCUUCGAAGUGAACUUUCCUUUCUUUCCUGUUCUAAAGCCUUUUUAAAUAAGCUUCCCCUCCUGCCCUGAAACUUGCCUCAGUCUCUUUUUCUGCUUUAUGCCCCUCAGUAGAAUAAAUUCUUUCUUCUGAAGAGGCAAAGACUGAAAUUGCUGAGGACCCAUAUGGAUACGCUGCCCAUAACUCAAAGUAAAUCGGAUUCCUGCCACUGGUAACAAAAUAAGUAACUUGUAAGAGUUGCCUGGACUGUGGAAUAACUUCUUGGUUAAAACAUAGGUUUAGUCUCUUAGGGACUUUCCUGCCUAAGUUAACUUAUUUUGGUCCUGUAAUACUUAGUGUCUGGGUCUGUGAAAUUGGGAUAAUAAUAGAAUCUAAAUCAUAAAUUUUUUCUAAUCUGUAUAAAACACUUUAAUGCAAUGAUAGAAAAAGGUAUCACUCAAUAAAUGUUAGUUAUUUUUACUACGACUGAAAACAUUCUGAUGUUACAUAAUUUAUUUGUAUUCCACAACUAAACACAUGUAUUUCAUAUGGUAGGCAUAUGGGUUAGUUGGUUGAUUGGUUGACAAUGUUCCUUGAUGUCCAAAACCAUGUCUUACUUCUUUUUGUAGAUGAAAAGUCCAACAGAAUUUUCAGAUAGCACUGAGUAACAGAAGAGCCAAAUGGAUACACACCCCUAUGGAACUAAAAUAGUUAUCAGAUUUUCAAAGUUAUGUCAAACAUAAGUAAAUAGUCUAACUUAGUAUAGAAGGGUAAGCUCAUUGUGUAUCUUUACAUUUUAAUCUUUUAAGGUAUUUUUGAGAGAAAUCUUUAUAUUAAGUGAAACAGUUUCUAUUAUUAUGGAACUGAUGUUAUCAUGAAAGCCAUUACAGGAAUUAUUUAUAAUGCAUUACUGAAAUCAGAUAUACAAAGUUGUAGGAUUUUCCUUUCCAAACUAGUGGCUGUAUCUAUUAAUUCUCUUGUAACGUAAUUAAGUAUAAAUAACAUAGAAAUAGUCACUACUUAUUCUUUAUUUGUUAUUUAUUUUUGAGACGGAGUCACACUAUCACCUGGGCUGGAGUGCAAUGGCGCACUCUUGGCUCACUGCAACCUCCACCUCCUGGGUUCAAGUGAUUCUCCUUCCUCAGCCUCCCAAGUAGGUGGGAUUACAGGUGCCCACCACCACGCCUGGCUAAUGUAUUUUUAAUAGAGGCGGGGCUUCACUGUGUUGGCCAGGCUGGUCUCUAGCUCCUGACCUCGUGACCUGCCCUCCUCGGCCUCCCAAAGUGCUGGGAUUACAGGCAUGAUCCACUGCACCUGGCCAGUCACUACUUAUUCUAAAUAAAACAAAAUCCAUUAACUCUGAAUAGAAAGAACCUUUUAAAUUUCCUCUUACUUAAUGUUUAAACCUUUUCAUUAACCCUUUAGCAAACCCUGUGCUAGGAAUUGUUUCAAGCCUCAGGAUGAUUUUACAAGAAUAAGGAAGCCCACGGGCUAGGUUGAACAACAGAGAGUUUAAUAAAUAAUUAAAAUAUAAUAAAAGCCAUACUAAAUUAUGCAUAGAGGGCUCUUCAAUGUUGUGCUGAAUAUUCUUUGCUUAAGGGAAGGUCUAAAUAGUUUUCUUUGUACCAACUGUGGGGCACAGUCAGUCAAGGAUAGCUAAGUAUCUUAGGACUUGCCAGGAAAAAGACUAGCUAAAUGAUUAGUUUUUGUUGUUGACAUUUUGUAUUUACCUUAAGUUAGUAUUCUUUAAACUUGAAAUUUAGCAGAGGUGUGUACAAUACUUAAAUUUUCUUCCAUCUAAAAUUGAUUGAGAUUCAUUAACCCUACCAACCAGUUCAACCCAAAUCCACAGCUAAGAAGUUAACAGAGAGCAAACAAAAAACGCUAGCAAACAAAGACAUUCAGAAAACUUAAAUAUUUUAGAUUUCAUUAUUAAUAUUCACAAUAUCUUGUAAGUAUCAUAAAAAGACACUGCACACUGAUAAUCUGACAAAAGGCAUUACUUAAAGUAUGAAAAGGACAGAAACUUAUAAAAUAUAUUUUUAUAAUCCAUUCUUAAAUUUUUUCUUCGAGUUUCUAUUUUUUCUGAAUCUUUUUUUAUUUCUUUCUGUAUCAGUUUUAUAGAAGACGUCUCCUUCCAUUCUCCUGAAGACACUUAUGUUAGAUCGAAAGGGGCUACACAUCCUUUGCUAUUUCUUCUACUGAGCAAUAUAGCCUAUCCCCCCUUCUCACAGAUCUGGAUGGCCCUGUGAUUGGUUUUGACCGAUAGAAUACAGCAGAAGAGAGGCUGUAGUAAUUCUCAGGCAGCGUCCUAAAAAAUCUGCAGAUUCUGCCUUCACAUCUUAAAAUAUUUCUUUUUGGAACCACUAUGCUCUGAAAAGCCCAAAUAAACAGGAGAAAGGCCAUAUGAGAGGAGCAAAGACAUGCUGUUCAUCCCCAGCCAAGCAUCCAGGCUACAACCAACAAAUGCUAGCAUGUCAGCCAGCUGUCUUGAAUAUUUCAGCCCCAGUCAGUCCUCCAGGUGAACACAGUUCCAGACAACAGCACGUAAAGCAGAAAGACUGCAGUUGUUCUGAGUCAAUUUAAAAAUCAUAAGAAAUUAUAAAACAACAUAAAACAGUGUUUUAAGCCAGUUAGUGUUUUAAGCUACUAAGAUUUAGGCUGUAUUGUUUUGUAAAAAUAGAAAAAUAGAGGAAAGAAAUGCAUAAAGUUCUUCAAAUUGUUCUUCUAUUUCUUACCAUAGAAUAUAUUAAUAUAUUUAUAGUCAUGCUCUUUUCAUUUUUUUUAGACGGAGUCUCACUCUGUUGCCCAGGCUGGAGUGCAGUGGCAUGAUCUCAAAACACUGCAGCCUCUGCCUCCUGGGUUCAAGUGAUUCUUCUGCCUCAGCCUCCUGAGUAGCUGAGGUGGGAUCCAGGUACCCACCACCAGGCUGCCUAAGCUUUAUAUUUUUAGCUGAGGCGGAGUUUCACCACGUUGGCCAGGCUGGUCUUGAACUCCUGACUUCAAGUGAUCCACCCACUUUGGCCUACCAAAGUGCUAGGGUUACAGGUGUGGGCCACUGCACCCAACUAUCCUUUAAUUCUUUAGAGUGCUGCUUUAUUUUGCUGAUUCAAUAGCAUACUUGUCCCUUGACAUCCAUAGGUGGAUGUGUGUACACAUGUGAACAUUAGUUUAAUCUUUAAUAACAGAGUGCUUUAUUCUUGAAAACUACCUCUUUUAGGAUGUAGUGUCUCACUACCUGUUUCCUUUCUCUCUUUUUAUUUUCUUUGAUGUUCUGAAGUUAAAGUAGAUUUUUGAAAAUUAACUUAGGGCUUAUGAGUAUGGUGGGGAGAGAAAAAAUGACCAAAUUCAUUCUGAAAUUGUGCCUUCAAAAUGUGGCACAUGAAGAGUAGUGCAGUGUCCCCUGAAUACUCCUGAGGCUUUCUGGUGGCACAGAAUCAAGGACUCUGAAGAGUGAUAAGUGGGUUACAGACACAGUAUUUGUUAUAUUAUUUUCAUAGAAUUUCAUUUUAUUCUUUCAGUAGAUUAAACUAAUUUUUUACUAUGCCAAGCAUAGAUGCACCUUCAUUUUUUUCUUUAAAAGUCAGGUCAUUUUUUUCCAUACCUUAUCUACCAUAAUUUAACAGAAAUUGUGUCUUUAUAAGUAUUUUGUUGUUAAAUCUGAGGCUUCAAUACAGAACAUGUUUUUUAAAUGGUUAUGGAAGUCAUAACAAAAUUUUCUACUUCUAGCCAUUGAAUGUCAAACAUAAUUCCACUCAAACAAUUGUGAGAGUCGUUAAAUUUUCCAAUAAGCUCAUGUUUGUAUCUGCAAAUUAAUCAUUUGGGUUCAUUCAGUAUUAACAUUGAUGCCAAUAUAUUAUAAAGAGAACUAAUAGUAAUGCCAAUACUUUUCUCACUUAGUUAACGUAUAGGCAGAAUAAUAAAAUAACUUAUUAGAACAUCAAUGAAAUAGAAUCUGGGAACUUUUAUAGAUACUGAGAAAAAAAAACAAACCCCAGUGCUGACACUUUGGUCAAAACAGUCAUUAUCUUGCUAUGUUUGAGAAAAGGUUAAGAAAUUUCAUGAUUAGAAUAUUACUAAGUCAUUUAAGUCAUUAAGAUUUAAAUAGUGCAAUGUCUCCUGAAUACUCCUGAGGCUUUCUGGUGGUACAGAACCAGGGACUCUGAAGAGUGGUGAAUGGGUUACAGGCAAAUUAUCUUAGAUCAUUAAGACUUAAGACUAUUAAGUCAUUUUUGGAAGUUGGGUAUAAACUAUGUAAGCAUUAAUUAGUUCUGUUAUUUUCAAAUAGACAGACUUUGCAUAUACAUAUGUGUGUAUGUGUGUGUUUGUUUAUGAAUAUGAAUGAAAUAAGCAUACAGCAGAACAAAUAUAUCACAAGGGAAACGUCAUAUAUUUAACAUUUUACAAAAAAAUAAUGUAGUUCUUACCUUUUAUUAAUAAUACAAAGUACAGUCUAUUUUCAAAAUACACUUAUGUCUGAGGUAUAUUCUACAAAUGAAACUGCAUUUGUCUAAGAUGAGUUUUCCAGAAAUGUUUUUAUCCAUAUUUGAAAGUGUAAGUAAGUCUUUGCUUAGUAAUCAUCUUUGAACCGCUUUUAAUUUAAACCACUUCUGGCAAUCUUUUAGCCAACCAUUUCUUCAUUAAAAUGGACCCUAUUGUUAAGUACCAGAUAGAAUUUUCAAGAGGAUUUUUCCAGUCACUAAAAACAAGGUCUAACAUCAUCUCCAGGUAUAAUUCUGUGUCAACAUAGUGAGAGAGGGCUUGCCUCUUCAAAAGCCAGAAACUAGUUGCAGUGUGACAAAUGUUUCCAAUAUAGUUUUUUGUCUUGCCUAUCUCCAAUAGCAACUUUCAGCUACUUCUUUCCCCUUCACCUUCAUUUUCUUUUCCAUUACCUCUCAUUUCUACCACCAUUGUUCAGGAGAAAUAUGACAGACAAUUUAUUAUUUUCUUCAUCACAUUUUAUUAGAAUUGUAUUACAGGCAAGAUCAUUGAGAGGCUUUAUUCACAGAAGCAGGGAGAAAAUCUCAGCCUUUCUUCUCCUGAGGGACUCAGAAUUGGACCAUUUUCUACCAGGUUAUUGUGUGUGCUUCCAGUGCUAUUCAGUUCUUUCCAUUUUUAAUUCAGAAUCUAUUUUUUUCUAGAACUUCCUAACUUAUUCACAGCUCCCUGCAUUCAUCUUUCUUUGUCUAUACAAAGAGAGACACAUUUAUGUACAGACUACAGAUUGAUACAUAGUUAUUAAAAGAAAUAUUAUAUUUAUAUAAAUUUACAAAAAGAUGCAUUCUCUUUUAAUGGAAAGGCAUAUACCUAAUAUUACACUAUAAUAUGGAAAGAUAAAUACAUAAUAUUACAUAUUCAUAUAUACCAAAAAUCAGGAACUAUAUUCUCAUUGAUAUUUCAUCAUGUAAUGAAAGAAAAAUCAAUAAAACACAGUCUUAGUAGCACACUCACUGGUAGAUUUAACAAAUAAUGUGAUUUGAAAUCUCAGUGUUCAGCAUUGUCCUUUCUAGUCAAUAGCAUGAAAGGGCAUUGGAAGUCUGAAGUGCGUUAUCUGCUUAAUGCAUUUAUCCUCCAUUGUACACGUGGUUUACCUGCAACAUAUGUAAUAUUUUAAACAAUGUUUACUUUCUAAAUAAUGUGUUAUUUCUCUCUAUUUUUUUUUCCUGGAUAGCACAGUAUAUAGACAGUAUAAAGCAAACUUACAAAGUCUGAUACAAGCAGAAUAUUUUGCCAGAAGAUUUUUUGACUAGACAGAUAUCUUUAAUUGCAAAGUCUGAGACUGCCCCAAGGUGCUGUUUCUAAGUUGUUGAGCAGGGGGUCAUGGAAUACCAGCAUGUCUGAAAAUAAAAGAACAUUCUUCGCAAGUCAAACGAAGAUAAGGUAUUUACAAUUUCAUUUUUGCUUGGAUGAUUUGGAUCAUUUCCAAGUGUAAAGCAAUGAGGUAACUCCUUAACCUUCAGAGUCAAACCAUAAAAGGAUCUUUAUAAGUAGGUCCUUCUGUGUCUCAGAUAUAGUAUGAAAUGGAUUAAAAUACAAAGAUAAUACCACUGAUGCAACAGUAGUAAAACAGCCUUUUCUUUCUAAAUUCAAUUCCCUAUAAACUUCAGAUAUUUUAUUUUUACUAAAUUAUAGUUAGACUUUCUGUAGAAUUUUUUGUUUUAAUUUGUCUUAUCACCUACUUUUUUGUUUUUGUAUGUAAACAACGUAACAACUGGAGGUUUCUUAAUAGCAUGCUCAUAUCUAAAUAGUAAUCUUUUACAUCUUAUGCAAAGAAAUAAUAUGUUUGCAAAGCAACAUAUGAUGUUUUACCCAAUUCCUGGAAGGAGUUUCUGAGUAUAGUUGGGGAGGUCAAGCAUUGAGGCAGAGUUCGGUGACAGGUGCAGGGAUAGAUAAAAAAUGACAGUGAAAAUUAAAUAAUCAUAAAAACUUAAUAGUGGAGGUUCCUUAGAAGUACUUGCUUCACUCAGAAAUGUCUUCAGAAACUUAGUCAUGAAUGAUUCUUCAACCUCUGCUUGAACUUUCAUUUGUGGAAAUCUUCAUGUUUACAAGCCAGCAUUUUCUAUAUUUUAGUCACAUUGGUUAUUAGAAUGUUUAAAGCAAUUUUUUAGCAUAAGGUGUAGUAUUAACCAAACCUUCUGAUAUAAGUAGCAUUAAUCAAUGCAUCUUAGUGCAAACUGAGUACAUUAUCCCAUUUAUUUUCACUGAUAAAUUUUUCAAUUCAGGCACAUCUAGAAUCAGUCUGUUCUCAUAUUUUUUAUGACAAUAGAGUUAAAGAUUAUUUUGGAAAAAAAAUUAAAAAAAUUUCCACCACUUUUUAUUCCUAUGUAUUUCCUUUUUUUGUCUUAAAUAAUCUAAUAAAAAAAGUUCAUUAUUGAAUUCUGCCUUUUUAUAUCUUUUCCCACUUAGUCCCAAUCCUUUGUUAUACAGACACAAAGUAUAAGUACAUAUAUGUAUAUAUAUAUAUUUUUUCACAUGUCAGGCCCUCAGUAUUUAAGUAACACUCUUAUUCCCUGGUUGAUCUUUCAAUUUCCAGCUUAACAGUCUCAGGUAACAAUUAAAGAUUAGUCAAAUAUCAUGAUUUCACAGCCCUUCAUGUUUCUGAUGGUGGGGCUUCAAAACUGAUGUUCAAAAUGUAGUGCUUUGACAUGUUGAACUGAAGAAGAAACCUCUAGGUCUCCCUGACCCUGCCCACACUGCCCUGACCUUAGAUCUUCUGUCUAUCCCAACACACAGAGUGAAGUUUUCUGACAUUCCCUUAUCUGCCUAAAGUCUAGACUUGCCGAAGAAAACAAUUAAACCUGCUCCCUUCCCUGAUUUUCUCGUUAACCAAACUCAUAUCAUAGGAAGAAAGACUAAACUCUGCCAACUAAACUAGACAGACUUUUGUCACAAAUCAUUGUCCUCUCUUCAAGCCCAUUGAACCCCCUUAAAAUCAGUUACUAGCUCCCCCAAAUUAUCCAACUUCCUUCACUUCUCUUACCUCUAAGAAAAAAUGUAAUAACCAUUCAUAAACCAUUACAUGGUGGGGUAAUCACUCUAUGAUUUUCCGUAUUUGCACAAUAAUAAAUUUGUAUGUCUCUUAUUACUAAUUUAUCUUCCAUCAGUUGAUUUUCAGAGAACCUACAGAAGGUGAAGAGGAAGUUUUCCCUUGGCCUGUACAGUUUUAGUGUCACAAACAGGACACUAAAUGUGCUCUGAUAUUCUGGAAGCCAUAGUCAAGGGAAGCCAGGAGCUUACAAGCUGGCAGAGGGGUAAGAAAUUCUUACCAGCCAGGCUCCCAGACUCUACUGACUCUGGUUGAGCAGAUGGUAAAAAUCACAUUUUGUCUCUUUUUCCUCCCAAAACUUUUGAUUAAUGAGAGAAAAGAAUUUGUGUUAAUUCUUUUAGGUAUAGCAACUCUGGUGUACUUUUAGUAUGAAUAUUAAUAUUGUUUCAUACUUUUCCUCCUAGAAAUAGUUUUUUCCUUUGUCUUUGUCUUUCUGUGUUGUUCUGUCAUAAAGAGAGGUACCCUGUGGUAGUACAUAGGCCUAAAACUCCCAUAAAUCCAUCGUUCAAGCGACUGCUGCAGACUGGUCAGUUUUGCAGUUCUGGCCAGACCAGUGGCUAUUUAGAUGAACGUUGCUCUGGGUCCCCAUAAUAAAAAGCAGAUGAGAUUCCCCUCUCGUCUAAUAUUUUAUGUACUUUAGAGAUUGACUUGUGACCAAGUGGGAGCACUCUCUCAACUUUAACCAUCUGGGGUGCAUGAUAUUUGAGUCAUGUCUGGUGGCCAGCCUAACAAGACUGGGAACCCUAAAAAAUGCAAGAUUUUAAGCAGUAUACUUUUUGUUCUGAACAUGUCAUAUUCUCAGGGAAGUUUAUCGUAUGAAGUCCCAUCCUUAAGGAGAUUUUGUCACCUCAACACUUGUUGCCUUGUUAGUCAUGGGAAAGUCUAGUCCCAGGACUGCCUACCUAUGUCAUGGAUUGAGUCCAUGAUUGGUGGCCCACCACAAGUUUGUGGGGUAUUGGAGGCACUGUAUACAUAAACAUACAAUUAUCUUUAACCAUCUAUGACAAAACGAGUCUUUUGAAAUUUUAUCCUACCUUUGGAAUUGAACUUUUUUGGGUGGGGAUUUUUGGAGCUACCUCUUCUAUAUCCUCUCUAGGGAAUUCCUCUUCUAUACCCUCUGCAGGAAAUACGUCUUGCUUAUAUGGUAAAAACUCAUUCUAAACUUGGAAAAUCGCCUGCUGGACUUUUCAUAAAGAGGUUACUGGGCUGAUCCACUAUUUAAAUAAUUACAACUUUGGUAAUUAUCUGUGUGACUCUUGACUUGUGGGGGUAUCCAUUUAUUAUUGAUACUUUUCUCUUCCACAGAUGGCUUUUGACUUUCUAUCUUUUCCCAUCUGUAGAUCACACAAAGUUUUAGGGGUUUUGAAUAUAGUUUGUCAACUGAGAAGGUGAGACGGUAGACAAUAUGGCCAGAUAGAAAUGUGGGUUGUCCCCAUUUGCGGGGAGCAAAACUGUCCUUUCAUUGAGUUGCUAUUGGGUUGGUUCUGUAUCUUGUGAAAAUAACUUUGCAUCUCUUUUGAGAUGCCUAGUUUGUCCUUGUUAAGUCAUAACCUUUGUUAAGGCUUAUUGAUUAUGGUGAGUCACUUGGAAAGGUACCUUUGGUUUAAAAGAAAAAAAAAAUAUUUAAAAUCUAGGUAAAUUGACUGUUUGUCCCAGCUAACAUUUAAUAAGAGAUUUUCAAAAAUGUUUAUUUUAAAGAGAUCUAUCAUCAGAAGUCAGCUUAAUUAAAAGCUGAUAGGCUAUGGCAGGAGAAUUGCUUGAACCCAGGAGGCAGAGGUUGCAGUGAGCAGAGAUCACAAUGCUACACUCCAGCCUGGGCGACAGAGCAAGACUCUGUCUCAAAAAAAAAAAAAUACAUAUGGAUAUGUAUAUAAUUCCUUAAUAUCAAUAGGAAAAUAUUUGUGAGUAUUCUAAUUUCUCUGACAUUGUCAUAUUUGAUUUGCAACUAAUUUGAUUGAAUUGGGAUCCUAAGAAGGUAUAUAAAUUCACCUCCCACUAGGGAGGCCUCACAAUCAUGGAAGAAGGCAAGGAGGAGCAAGUCACAUCUUAUGUGGAUGGUGGCAUGCAAAAAGAGAGUUUGUGCAGGGAAACUCCCAUUUGUAAAACCAUCAGAUCUUGCAAGACUCAUUCACUAUCUAAAGAAGAGCACAGGGAAGACCCGCCCCAUGAUUUAAUCACCUCCCACUGGUUCCUCCCACAACAUGUGGGAAUUGUGGGAGUAAAAAUUCCAGAUGAGAUUUGGGUGGGGACUCAGCCAAACCAUAUCAUUUCGAUCCUGAGCCCUCACAAACCUCAUAUCCUCACAUUUUAAAAUGAAUCAUGCCUUCCCAACAGUCCCCCAUAGUCUUAACUCAUUUCAGCAUUAACUCAAAUGUCCACAGUCCAAUGUCUCAUCUGAGACAAGGCAAGUUCCUUCCACCUAUAAGCCUGUAAAAUCAAAAGCAAGUUAGUUACUUCCUAGAUGCAUUAAGAGUAAAGGCAUUGGGUAAAUACACCUGUUCAAAAUGGGAGAAAUAUGUGAAAACAAAGGUGUUACAGGUCCCAUGCAAGUCCAAAAUCCAGCAGGGCACUCGAAUCUCAAAGAUCUAAAAUGAUCUCCUUUAAAUCUAUGUCUCACAUCCAGGUCACACUGAUGCAAGAGUUAGGUUCCCAUGGUCUUCAGCAGCUCCACCUCUGUGGGUUUUGCAGGGUACAUCCUUCCUCCUGUCUGCUUUCACAAGCUGGCAUUGAGUGUCUGUGGCUUUUCUAGGUGUACAGUGAAAGCUUUCAGUAGAUCUACCAUUCUGGGGUCUGGAGGACAGUGGCCCUUUUCUCACAGCUCCAGUAGGUGGUAUCCCAGAAGGGAUUCUGUGUGGGGGCUCCAACCCCACAUUUCCCUUCCACACUGCCCUAGAGGAGGUUCUCCAUGAGACCCUCGCCCCUGCAGAAAACUUCUGCCUGAACAUCCAGAGAUUUCCAUACAUCCUCUGAAAUCUAGGCAGAGGUUUCCAAACCUCAGUUUUUUAUUUUUGUGUACUCAUAGGCUCAACACCACAUGGAAGCUGCCAAGGCUUAAGGCUUGUAUCAUCUGAAGCCACAGCCCAAACUCUACAUCAGCCCCUUUCAGCCAUAGCAGGAGUGGCUGGGACACAGGGCACAAAGUCUCUGGGCUGCACUCAGCAUAUGGUCCCCAGGCCCAGCCUAUGAAACCACUUUUUCCUCCUGGGCCUCUGAUUCUGUGAUGGGAGGCUGCUCUGAAGAUCUCUGACAUACUCUGGAGACAUUUUCCCCAUUGUCUUGAGGAGUAACAUUCGGCUUCUCAUUACUUAUGCAAAUUUCUGCAGCCUGCUUGAAUGUCUCCUCAGGAAAUUGAUUUUUCUUUUCUAUGGCAUUGUCAGGCUGCACACUUUCCAAACAUUUAUGCUCCACUUUUCUUAUAAAACUGAAUUCCUUUAACAAUACCCAAGUCACCUCUUGAAUGCUUUACUGCUUAGAAAUUUCUUCUGCCAAAUACCCUAAAUCAUCUCUUUCAUGUUCAAAGUUUCACAAAUCUCUAGGGCAGAGGAAAAUGCUGCCAGUCUCACUUCGCUAAAGCAUAAUGAGAGUCACCUUUGCUCUAGUUCCCAACAAGUUCCUCAUCUCCAUCUGAGACCAACUCACCCUGGGACCUUUUUGUUCAUAUCACUAUCAGCAUUUUUGUCAAAGUCAUUCAACAAGUCUACAGAAACUUACAAACUUUCCCACAAUUUUUUUUUGUCUUCUUCUAGAGUCCUCCAAACAGUUCCAACCUCUGCCUGUUACCCAGUUCCAAAGUCACUUCCACAUUUUCAGGUGUCUUUUCAGCAAUGCCCCACUCAACUGGUACCAAUUUACUGUAUUAGUUCAUUUUCACACUGCUGAUAAAGCCAUAAUCGAGACUGGGAGUAAAAAGAGAUUUAGUGGACUUACAGUUCCACAUGGCUGGGGAAGCCUCACAAUGAUUGUGGAAGGCAAGUAGGACCAAGUCCCGUCUUAUGUGUAUGGUAGCAGGCAAAGAAAGAGCUUAUGCAGGGAAACUCCCAUUUUUAAAACCAUCGGAUCUCACAAGACUCAUUCACUAUCUAAAGAACAGCACAGGGAAGACCCGCUCCCACGAUUCAAUCACUUCCUAGUGGGUUCCUCCAAGAACACGUGGGAAUUGUGGGAGCUACAAUUCAAGAUGAGAUUUGGGUGGGGACACAACCAAACCAUAUCACCUUAUAAAGUUUCUGUGAAAAUUAAUUAGUUAAUAUACAACCAAAAAUGUUUUAUACUGUGUUUGACAUAUAUUAAGCACUCAAUAAAUGUUUACCCUAAAAUGUACAUUUAUUUUAAAUCAAAGUUUAUAAUAUAGUAGGUAUUCAUGCAUUUAUAA
rnacentral:lncRNA from 1 species